AACUUUCAACAACGGAUCUCUUGGUUCUGGCAUCGAUGAGAACGCAGCGAAAUGCGAUAAGUAAUGUGAAUUGCAGAAUUCAGUGAAUCAUCGAAUCUUUGAACGCACAUUGCGCCCGCCAGUAUUCUGGCGGGCAUGCCUGUUCGAGCGUCAUUA
rnacentral:rRNA from 1 species